UAGGGAAUCUUCGGCAAUGGGGGGAACCCUGACCGAGCAACGCCGCGUGAGUGAAGAAGGUUUUCGGAUCGUAAAGCUCUGUUGUUAAGGAAGAACGAGUGUGAGAAUGGAAAGUUCAUACUGUGACGGUAUCUAACCAGAAAGCCACGGCUAACUACGUGCCAGCAGCCGCGGUAAUACGUAGGUGGCAAGCGUUGUCCGGAUUUAUUGGGCGUAAAGCGAGCGCAGGCGGUCAAUUAAGUCUGAUGUGAAAGCCCCCGGCUCAACCGGGGAGGGUCAUUGGAAACUGGUUGACUUGAGUGCUGAAGAGGAGAGUGGAAUUCCAUGUGUAGCGGUGAAAUGCGUAGAUAUAUGGAGGAACACCAGUGGCGAAGGCGACUCUCUGGUCUGUAACUGACGCUGAGGUUCGAAAGCGUGGGUAGCAAACAGG
rnacentral:rRNA from 1 species